CACAAAAGUGAAGACACUACAUUGACGAGGUGAAGAGUUCUAUGGGAGACACAAAGUGAAGACACUACAUUGAUGAGGUGAAGAGUUCUAUGGGAGACACAAAAUGAAGACACUACAUUGACGAGGUGAAGAGUUCUAUGGGAGACACAAAGUGAAGACACUACAUUGACGAGGUGAAGAGUUCUAUGGGAGACACAAAGUGAAGACACUACAUUGACGAGGUGAAGAGUUCUAUGGGAGACACAAAGUGAAGACACUACAUUGACGAGGUGAAGAGUUCUAUUUGAGACACAAAGUGAAGACACUACAUUGACGAGGUUAAGAGUUCUAUGGGAGACAAAGUGAAGACA
rnacentral:sRNA from 1 species